rnacentral:rRNA from 1 species
UACGUAGGGCGCGAGCGUUGUCCGGAAUUAUUGGGCGUAAAGAGCUCGUAGGCGGCUGGUUGCGUCUGCUGUGAAAUCCCGGGGCUUAACCCCGGGCGUGCAGUGGAUACGGGCCGGCUGGGGGCAGGCAGGGGAGAAUGGAAUUCCCGGUGUAGCGGUGAAAUGCGCAGAUAUCGGGAGGAACACCGGUGGCGAAGGCGGUUCUCUGGGCCUGUACUGACGCUGAGGAGCGAAAGCGUGGGGAGCGAACAGG